rnacentral:lncRNA from 1 species
GUGGGCUCAACCAAUUAGGCUCUUUGUGUAUCUCAACUACUAGAAUGAGCUUAAGUUGCAAUAUCGAUAUUGUCUCUCGGCCGCUUUUAAGUUUCAAUCCAAAAGAUUUAUGUACUAGGUAAUAAUAUGUGUCUUGCGCGGGAUGUGAUUAUUAGUUUCGCUAUUUUUAAUAAAAAGACAUUAAAUCUAUUUAAUCUGGAUAUUGGUUCGGUUUUAAGCUUUUUUUUUUGCUUUUAAUCUUCUAAAAUAUAACUAUUA